ensembl:lncRNA
AAUUUUUUUCACUGCUCUGGGGUGGUGAGUGAAUUUUAUCUAACACCUUCCACUUGCCUGUAGCCAGCCUGCUCACGUUCAUAGAGCCAUAGAAUGUUCUAUACUGAUUCUGCCCCCAGACUGUAAAGAACAAGAUAAUAACUUUAUUUUAUGUACUGGAGAGCUAAAUUGUUUUCAAAGUCUUAGUUUAGCAGGCAAAGAUGAAUUUAUUUGCCAAAGACAUUCAGAAGCAGCUUGGGAAACUCUGCCAGAGCCCAGCUUUAACCACUAACUGGUGGCUGUUGUACUUAAUAGCUGUCAGGCAUGCUUGCAGUGUGAGGGAGACUGGCACAAAAUCCAGGAUGUAGGGGAUUUUCCUCCAAACAACAGCAAGUGCAAUCAAUUCACAAAUCGUAUAGUUGAAUAAGAAGAAAACCUGCAUCUGCAGCCACUUGCAUGUUGCAUCCCUUACUGGCUCUGCUCCCGUACCUGGGACGAGAAACAACCUUGCUCUUGUUUCACACUCUUUAUCCGUUCUGUCCAGCUCUAUUAACUUAGCGCACUGCUGAACAUUACCUUUGCUCUGCUUGCACUGCUGGCCUUUGCCAUCCUUUUCCCACCUAGAUAUCUUCGUGCUUUCCUGCAUCCUAACCUCCAUGUGUGGAACAAAGUCUGGAAAAUUCUCUCCAUCUGCUCUUCUUCAGAUCAUUCUGUCAGAUGCACUUCGACCCUGAUGCCUGUGGGGCACUGCUGAUAAUGGCCAGAGUGCAAGUUACAUUGUUUUCUAGCCAGCCAAUGUGAAAACAUGUUCGUGUUAUUUCUACUGUGGUUUUCAUAUCAACCCCUUUCCUGCCAGGGAGGACAAAGCCAUAAUGCCUUUUUAGUAAUGGCCAACUGUCUUUGGAAGCUGACACAGAUAAGAGCGGCUCUCAGCCCACAAGUUGUUACCUUCCUUCUCCUCGAGUCACAGCUCCACCAGUUUGCUUUUAGCCAUCGUAUUCAUUUUGUUCUCCUUGACUUCUGCCCAUCUGUGAAUGCAGCUCUCUGGCCUCACCAAGGGACUAUGUCAGCAUCCACCCUUUCAGAAUAUGUUAACAGGUCUUGGCUCCAACCAGCAAAGGUCAUUUUUUUGGGGGGUGGCUUUCUUGCAUACGCAGCCACAGCCCUUUACAGAGUGACAAAAAGACUUCCUUCCCAUUUGCUAUUACUCACCUAACUGUGUUUGGAAGGGGCGGGCAUCCUAGCUAAUCAGAGCUUCAGACAGGCAAUUCCUCAAAUUGUUUUAGGGUUUUUAAUUAAAACUGUAGGCUUCAGCACCACAUGGCAGAGAGCCAGAAGCAGUCAUCUGACAAUAGCCUUCACCAUCUACCAACAAUAAGGGAAUUCCUAAGUGUACGCUCGGGAGGCUCCUGAAAUGCUGUGAACGGCUGAGAUUGGUGUUUGCAAAGCACCCUGCAACAUUUGGCCUUGCAGGUCUGCCGAUUUUUACAUGAUAUAAACAAAACCCUAUAAUCUCCACCCAGCACAGAGAUACUGACUUGUGUUUAUACUGUCCAGAUCACAGAUGCUGGGCAUGAAUGCAUGAGCAGUCCUUUUGUAUGGUGUUUGACACUUUCUGUGGCUGUCUGCGCUGUUUUUUAAUAUACAGAAUCCCCGGUUCUCCACUGCCUUGCACCCUGUCUAUUCAUUCUCACCCCUGUGAAGUGAGGGUAAAACACUAUCAAAACAAAAUGGUACCACUUUGCAUGUUUUCCACUCAGUUUGUACAGGUGUAAAUGACUACAGAAAGAACAGGGCAGAGCAGAACCUGACCCGCAGUCUGUCUCUCCAUGCGUCAGGGGUCCUGAAGUGGGGUAUGACAGAACAAACACAAGCUGUUACCUUGCCAGUUUUGCUUUUUUGUUUGCUUUUUGGUGUUGUUGUUGUUUAAAAUCAGGCAGCUUGCAGGGAUGACAGAUGCAAAAGUCGGGCAGUACUUGGUUCCUGUAGUCCUCACGUGACGUCUUCUCAUCGAGUAACGAAAGUGUUACCCGUGGCAGAGAGCUUGCCUUCACUUCUAAGGAGCCCAGGCACACGUCUCUGCUGUGGUUGCAGUUAAGGGUAGUGGAGGGGAAUCGUGUGCCAUAUCUUCCUGCUUUCCAAUCCAAGAUGCCAAAGUCUACCGGAGCACACAGUUGACUAGUAUAAAAUGAUACAUGCAGACCAGAAGUGGAAUACAUAUUGAUCAGAAGUUGAGUACGUGCUGACAAACCACCUCAAAAAAAACACAGUAACUGCUCUGAUUUAACACAGCAGUUGGCUGGAUCCAUAUGGAGCUGAUGAACCUCUGAAUGAAUAGUGAAUGGAAAAACUGCUGGAAUCUGCCUUCAGCUUUGUUCCCAGGAUGACCAAUGUAAAAGGCCUAAGAGCAAUACUGCACAGAUGGUGUAAAGAGGUUUAUGAGCAAGCAAGAAGUAAAGUGGAAUCAACAGGGAUGUUGUGAAUGGCUUUUGUAGUCCUGCUGUCACUGGGGAAUCAUGCACGUCUGCCGGUCCUGAAGCAUUUCUUGGUUGUUUAUGAGGGCUGAAAUCACCUCCUUUCAAAUUUACCUUUUGGACUCUGCACCACUGUGAUCACACAGAAUCACAGAAUGGCCUGGGUUGGAAGGGACCUCAAGGAUCAUGAGUCUCCAACCCCCCUGCCGGGCAGGGCCACCAACCUCCCCAUUUACUAGACCAGGUUGCCCAGGGCACCAUCCAACCUGGCCUUGAACACCUCCAGGGAUGGGGCAUCCACAACCCCUCUGGGCAGCCCGUUCCAGCACCUCACCACUCUCCUGAGAACCACAAAUGGGGAAGACAAAUGCAUCUUCCUUUAUGAAAACACCCAGAUGCAAACUUGCUGGAGUUCAACUACAGGGGAUGUAUACACAUGUGUAGCGGACAAAGUUUUCCUCUCGUAUUUCUCUGCUGCUGGUAUUUUUGAAGACGAAAGCAGGAUCUGAAGUUGGAAACUUCAUCAUGGAGUGCGACCAUGGUGCAUACUGCUAUCUAGCCAGUGAGGUUUUUCUAUUAACACUGACCCAAAGAGAAGCUCCGAGGGAUGAAAGGGUUAUUAUGUGACCGGACACCUUGGGUCACCUGGGGACUGUUCUCCUUCUCCAGAUACAGCCUAUUUUGAAACAAGGACACUUCACCUUUUCCUGUUGAAACUGUUCCUCUCUGUGAAAGAAACUCACAGGUAUGUUUGCCCACAGAACCUGAGUCAACUCAGAUGUGAGGAGAAGUGGGAGAUCUUCAUCUCUGCUCUUCUACAGCCAUUCCUGCUGUACUUGAUCUGAAAGAUAUGUGAAGUAAAACAUUAGCAAGAAUGCUGCCAACAAUGAGAUAAAUGAAGGAUGCUUAGUGGCGGAUAAUGCUGAAAGUUGAACUUCUUUGACCGAAGAGCUACAGCUUCUUCACACUGUGAAGACUGAAGUGUUUCUAUUCCUUAAAGGAGAAUAUAUGAGGAAAUUUGGGUGACUUUAAACGCUUGAAAGAAUUUAGAUAGUGCCAAAGCUAAGCAGUAGAUGAGUGGAAAAUUAGAACAUUGAAUUUUGUUUUAAAUCUCAUCUAAAUCACCUGAAGUCUUGAGUAGGUCUAAAACUCAGCUGAUGUGUGUUUAAAAUAGCUACCAGUGGGAUGGAUUUGUUGAUAUUUAUCUCGGGAAUGUUGUGCUGAUAAAUGUGUCAAGUUCUCACCUAUUACAGUAAUAACUGUACCAUAUAUGGAUGUAGACAAAUAAAAAGGUGUUUUAAAUGGCUUGUAAAACUUGGCAGAGGACAAAUCUCAUGAAUGCUUCUAGUUGAUCACUAGGCUAUCAGAACUCCCUUUACCAGUGUUGGGUGGUUUUCUACAUUGUUUCUGUGCAAAAUACCUGUGCCUCCCAUGAGCUGUGAAUCCAGUUUUUCAAGAGAUCAUUAAACAUGAAAGUACUAAACAUCCUAAUUCUUUUCCCCUAAAGUUAUAUCUCAGCAUUGUCUUCAUCAGUAGCCUUGUCUGCAGGAAGUGUAAAGUUUCCUGCUAUGAUUGUUUGAAUGCUGCCAAUUAUCAGAUCUGCUUUUGGCAGCUUUCCCCUCAACCUGCUGAUUAGCUAAUGUGUGGUUACUAAUACAAUAUGGGAAACGGGUGUAAACGAGGAAGCAAAAGAUUUAUUAAUUUCAUGUGCUAAAUACUGUUUGUAAUAUAAUUAUCAAUACUGUGAAAAGAAAUCCUGGCUUCUUGUGAAAUGAGGCACAAGAAUUUUGUAUGGUAAACAGGCGUAUUUUCCCCUUGAUGCACACACAAUUUUCAUUAGAUUCAUAGAAUUUAAAGGCAGAAGAGGGACCAUUAGAGCAUCAAGUCUAACUACCUAUAAAACACAGGCCACAGAAUUUCAUCCAGUUACCCUGUAUCACAAUUAAUGGAAAGCAGGAGCCAGAUCCAGAGCUGGAUGCACAGCAGCGUUACCAAGCUGGAAUAAUG